rnacentral:rRNA from 1 species
UACGUAGGGGGCUAGCGUUGUCCGGAAUCAUUGGGCGUAAAGCGCGUGUAGGCGGCCCGAUAAGUCCGCUGUGAAAGUCCAGGGCUCAACCCUGGGAUGCCGGUGGAUACUGUCGGGCUCGAGUCCGGAAGAGGCGAGUGGAAUUCCUGGUGUAGCGGUGAAAUGACGCAGAUAUCAGGAGGAACACCGAUGGCGAAGGCGGCCGGCUGGGGGCGCCCUGACGCUGAGGCGCGAGAGCGUGGGAGCGGAACCGG